rnacentral:rRNA from 1 species
GGUUAUCCCGUGCAAGCGGCGGAGGGAGGAAGGGGAGGGGAAGGGUUAAGCGGAUUUAGUGGGUUUAAAGGUACAGUAUGGGGACUUAUAAGUCAGUGGUGAAAGACUGUAGCUUAACGAUAGAACGGCCAUUGAUACGGUAAGGCUUGAGGAUAAUUGAGGGAGCUGGAAUAAGGAGUGUAGCGGCGAAAUGCAUAGAUAUUACGUAGAACACCAAUGGCGAAGGCAGGUUACCAAGAUAUAACUGACGCUGAGGGACGAAAGCGUGGGGAGCGAACAGGAUUAGAUACCCGUGUAGUC